rnacentral:rRNA from 1 species
UCCUACGGGAGGCAGCAGUGGGGGAUAUUGCACAAUGGGGGGAACCCUGAUGCAGCGACGCCGCGUGGGUGAAGAAGCGCCUCGGCGCGUAAAGCCCUGUCAGCAGGGAAGAAAAUGACGGUACCUGAAGAAGAAGCCCUGGCUAACUACGUGCCAGCAGCCGCGGUAAUACGUAGGGGGCAAGCGUUAUCCGGAUUUACUGGGUGUAAAGGGAGCGUAGACGGCGGUGCAAGCCAGAUGUGAAAGCCCGGGGCUCAACCCCGGGACUGCAUUUGGAACUGUGCUGCUAGAGUGUCGGAGCGGCA